rnacentral:lncRNA from 1 species
AACAAACUUUUCACAACUCAAACAUAUUUUGGGGAUCUCAAGUAUUUUUUGUAAAGAGGGUACAAUAUUGAAAAUGGGAACAUUUUUCGUACUAUGAACAACUUUUUCAAUAUGCGAAUAUUUUUCAAAAUACAGGAACAAAUUUGAAAAACGCCCUGCAAUUAUGGACAUUUAUUUCAAUACACAAAUAUUUUAUGAAAUUCUCCCGAACAUUUUUCACUUGGCGUACGAAUUAUAAAAACGCAAUUUUUGUUGAAUUUGUGAACAAAUUAAGAAAAAAGGAAC